AUCUACCUUCAGGACGGGGACAACAGCUGGAAACGGCUGCUAAUACCCGAUAUGCCGAAAGGUGAAACGUUGUUUCGCCUGGAGAGGAGCUCGCGUCCGAUUAGCUAGUUGGUGGGGUAAAAGCUUACCAAGGCGACGAUCGGUAGCUGGUCUGAGAGGAUGAGCAGCCACACUGGAACUGAGACACGGUCCAGACUCCUACGGGAGGCAGCAGUGGGGAAUUUUCCGCAAUGGGCGAAAGCCUGACGGAGCAACGCCGCGUGGGGGAAGAAGGUUUUUGGAUUGUAAACCCCUUUUCUCAAGGAAGAACAAAAUGACGGUACUUGAGGAAUCAGCCUCGGCUAACUCCGUGCCAGCAGCCGCGGUAAUACGGAGGAGGCAAGCGUUAUCCGGAAUUAUUGGGCGUAAAGCGUUCGUAGGCGGCUGUUCAAGUCUGCUGUCAAAGACCGAGGCUCAACCUCGGGUCGGCAGUGGAAACUGGAUAGCUAGAGGUCGGUAGGGGCAGAGGGAAUUCCCAGUGUAGCGGUGAAAUGCGUAGAUAUUGGGAAGAACACCGGUGGCGAAAGCGCUCUGCUGGGCCGAACCUGACGCUGAGGGACGAAAGCUAGGGGAGCGAAUG
rnacentral:rRNA from 1 species